rnacentral:rRNA from 1 species
UACGAAGGGAGCUAGCGUUGUUCAGAAUCACUGGGCGUAAAGCGCACGUAGGCGGAUGUGUCAGUCAGGGGUGAAAUCCCGGAGCUCAACUUCGGAACUGCCUUUGAUACUGCGGGUCUCGAGUCCGGGAGAGGUGAGUGGAAUUCCUAGUGUAGAGGUGAAAUUCGUAGAUAUUAGGAAGAACACCAGUGGCGAAGGCGGCUCACUGGCCCGGUACUGACGCUGAGGCGCGAAAGCGUGGGGAGCAAACAGG